GUGUGCCCCAGCUGGAGGACAGGGGGGAUGGAAAUGCUGCCUUGAAGAUGGGGGACACCGUCUGGUGACCCUGCGGGUGGCUGGGAGGAUCAGGGUGCUAGGCCACUCUGCCCUGGCACUGGGUCUCAGGGAACAGAGGGCAGAGAGACGCAGGGGUCAGGCCCAGAAGGAAGGUGGCCUCAGGUACCCCGGCUAGCAGUAACCACUGCUCCAAGGUGAAGACUUGACAGAAGCGCUUCUAACUCCUCCACGAGGUUCCCACUGGACUAGGGAGCGAGGGAAGCCCAGAGAAGGGGCCAUGAGGCUAUGGCGUGGACCAUGAUGUUACAGCAGUCCUUUUAUCCUAGGGAGAGCUCAGCCAGCCUCGUCCCAGACCACAGGUAUAACUGACCUUCGGAAGUUGGGGUGGGAUGCUGUCUCAGCUCUCCCUGGCUGCCUCGUAGCCAACCAAGGGUGGGGGACCUGGAGAUGCUGUCUGCAGGCCAUUUGGCAACUUGAGUCAAAAGGCCUAAAAAUAUGAACAACCUUUAAUCCAGCAAUCCCAUUCCUGGGAACCUGCCCUAAGAAAAUCACAGCUUGAAGGAAGGGAGAAUUGGAGUGGUUAGCCUCUAACUUGCUCCGUGAUCCCUGGCUCACAUUGGACCCAGCGGCUGUUGUCCAGCCUCCCCCAGUGAGGUUGUUCCCUCCCAUAGGAUCAUGUCCAUCAUCCUCCCCAGAGAAUGUGGCCCAUGGUGCCAGGCCACUGCCCAGGCCUGUGUUACACAUUCAUGGACCUUCCCUGUCCAUCCUCCACCUUUCUGGGACUCAGGCUUCUCUCUGCCCAAACACGGGCAUCCUAGAGGCCCCCUCCUCCAGGGAGUCUGCUCAGAUUUCAUCUAUGGGCAUCCUGCACCCUGUGUGCCCCCAGGUGGAGGUCUUUGGAGGCCUCUGUCCUCCCUGUGGGUAUGAGGUGGCUCCACUCUCCAUAGGGCUGUUUGACCACUCCCUGCUGAAUUCCAAGAGUCUCUAGCGGGUGUGAGACUGGACUGCUGUCCUUCCCUAGGGGGAAGGGGUGGGCACCACGACAACACACCUGGCAGGUCAGCCUCAUGCUCCCCAUCUUUGGCAGUGCCCGGCCUCAACAUAGCAUACCCUGGGAUGCCUGGACACAGGCAAGGCCCCCCUCUUCCCCUCCCUCUCUAGGCCCUCGGGGGGUCAUCUGUUCUUCCCCCUGCCUCCAGCCCUUGCUGCUUACAAGUCUAUUUUUCCAGCAGGAGGUGAGUGAACUUCUGCCCUUUGUUCCCUGUAAGUCCAAGAGACAGAGGUGGCUGGGUGCAGUGGCUCAUGCAUGUAGUCCCAGCAUUUUAGGAGGCCAAGGAGGGAGGAUUGCUUGAAACCAGGAAUUUGAGA
rnacentral:lncRNA from 1 species